ensembl:lncRNA
UGCUAAUGUAACUGGUGUAUGAUUGACUCAAUUUAAUUUGCUUUCUUUUAAUUCCUAUAUUGGAUUAUUUUUUUUUUUGUAUGUAUAUAUUCUGUUUAUGCUACUAUAAAUUCUAUUAGUUUCAUAAUAAGAAAGGGUUAGUGAACUCCACGAAAUUUUGUUCAUUUAUUAUUGUUUGCAAGUUAAAAUUACAUAAUAUUAGAUUCGUGGAACUUUUUCUUUGGGAUUUUGUCUGGGGAGGGGAAUUAUAUCAGUGGAACACAUCCGGGGUUUUCCCCGCGUGCGAUGUGCGAUAGCCUCAGUCCACCUGUGUGCGAGGCUAAGGAGCACAUGUAUUAUUGAGCUCUCCCCGUAAUUGACUCUGGUAUGAUGAUAUUUCUUGUCCAAAAUGCGUAUUUAUCGCUGGAUGAAUGUGAUUUAUUUUAUACUAGUACUUGAUUGUAUUAGUUAUGAUGAGAAUGUAUAUUUUGAGGUGUUAUUUGACCUUAACGAUGUGCGUUGUGACGCUAACUAAUUAGCAUCAUAUGCUUAGUGUGCCAGAGAGGGAGAAGCGGUCGCCUUUUGAUCCACUGAUUAUUUCUCCUUAUUACAGUAAAGGAAAGUGCUAAAUCUCAUCGAAGAGUGGUCGUGUGGUCUCUGUGUGUGUGGGGUGACCGGUCCAGACAUGCUACAUAAAUUUGGUGCCGUGACCCGGAUGCACCAGAUCUGCAGUAGCCGAUCGCUGGGGUUUGACAACGCCGAAUCACAACGCUUCUGAAAUCAUCGGACAAAGACUCUUCAUCGUUGACGUUUUGGUGGUGGUGUCUGGACAUGGAACGGAGUAACUGAACUCUCGCUUUACAUUACUCACACAUUGGACUUUACACUUUGCGCAUCUUUGAAGGUUUCCCUUUUUUUUAUUUGUUUUCUUUAUUUCUGUAUUUAAAAGUGGAUAACAGUGAAGUAAAUUUUUCUUGUUUUUCAUCAAUCUACCUUUCAUGAUAUGGCAGAAGGGGGGUGGAACGAAGAUUUAGUGACGCCACACAUUGGCCGGGGCCGUGGGUUUUUUGGGGUACCUGAGCCUGUAGUAGGCAAACCACGUGUUUUGGUGUAUGAUUCUGCGACUAUUUCGGGCAUGUCGAAUAAUGAGUCAAAUAAACCAAAGUCUUCCACUCCUGCCAAUGUUGGUUGUGACAGUGUUACACAGCAGCUGCGCGACCUCAUUGGCGAGCUUGGAAACCAGAUUGGUGAUUCAAUUGUUUCACGGUUGUUAACUAGCCAGAAUUCUCUAUUACCUGAUUCUUCUCCAUCGGUUGAGCAGCAACUUUCUGGGUCCAUACCCCUGUCUACAAGCCUCGAUUUGUCUAAGUUAAACCUGAUAGUAAAAACCGACAUUAGAGAACCACAAAUGUUCAGGGGGGAUGGUAGCGACAAAUGCUCCAUACUAGAGUGGAUUGAGCAGAUGAAUGUUUAUCUGGCCAAAAAGGGUUGCAACAAAGCUGAUAGCGUAGAAGAAAUACUGAACCAUCUAUGUGGUCGGGCAAAGAGCAUUGUUAAGGUUAAGCUGAAAAGUAGUCCAGUUGUUGUACUUUGUCCCGAAGUUGUCUACGAGGUACUGCGGCGCUAUUUUAGCGAGAGCCCUGGCUCAUGCCAGCCGUUGGCCGACUUUUAUGCCACGCAGCCAAAGAAAAGUGAGCGCCCUGUUGAUUAUUGGGUCAGGUUGAAUGAGGCAGCCGAGCUAGCAGACACUCACUUGAAAAGAUA